rnacentral:rRNA from 1 species
AUGGAUUACAAGGACCGACGUGUUGGGUAUAUAAGAGAACUAUAUUAUGAUUUGACGCAAGACAGAUGGGAUGCUUACCCGGGUGAAGCUGUGCUGGUGAAAGCAUGCAGCCUUGCUCACACAAUGCUCGACAUGGAGUUGGAGCUCACACAUAAGCUGGUAAUAAUAGGAACAGUGUGGACGGAUAUGUUGUGCUAUGCAGCAAUCAAUGCAUCGGGGGGAUUCCAUGCCAGGCAGCUGAGCAAAGGUGGUGAGUUUCUGACCCACAUCUUGCUCCUCACCAAAUAUUGUGCUGCUAUGCCCAACAUAGCAAAUCCGUAUGUCAGAGCAGCUGACGAACCUGUGAAUGAUAGUGCUGGCGACAUCGAGGUCAUGAUGAACAGCACGACCAGCACGAACAACAACUACUCCUACUACUAA